AUUGAACGCUGGCGGCAUGCUUUACACAUGCAAGUCGAACGGUAACAGGCCUUCGGGUGCUGACGAGUGGCGAACGGGUGAGUAAUGCAUCGGAACGUGCCCAGAGGUGGGGGAUAACGCAGCGAAAGCUGUGCUAAUACCGCAUGUGAUCUGAGGAUGAAAGCGGGGGACCAGGCAGCAAUGUUUGGCCUCGCGCCUUUCGAGCGGCCGAUGUCAGAUUAGGUAGUUGGUGGGGUAAAGGCCUACCAAGCCGACGAUCUGUAGCUGGUCUGAGAGGACGACCAGCCACACUGGGACUGAGACACGGCCCAGACUCCUACGGGAGGCAGCAGUGGGGAAUUUUGGACAAUGGGCGCAAGCCUGAUCCAGCAAUGCCGCGUGCGGGAAGAAGGCCUUCGGGUUGUAAACCGCUUUUGUACGGAACGAAAAGGCUCUGGCUAAUACCUGGGGCUGAUGACGGUACCGUAAGAAUAAGCACCGGCUAACUACGUG
rnacentral:rRNA from 1 species